rnacentral:rRNA from 1 species
AGAGUUUGAUCCUGGCUCAGGAUGAACGCUGGCGGCAUGCCUAAUACAUGCAAGUCGAACGAGAGGAAGGAAAGCUUGCUUUUCUGAAUCUAGUGGCGAACGGGUGAGUAACACGUAGGUAACCUGCCCAUGUGCCCGGGAUAACUUCUGGAAACGGAUGCUAAAACCGGAUAGGUAGCAGACAAGCAUUUGACUGCUAUUAAAGUGGCCUUGGCCAUGAACAUGGAUGGACCUGCGGUGCAUUAGCUGGUUGGUGAGGUAACGGCCCACCAAGGCGACGAUGCAUAGCCGGCCUGAGAGGGCGGACGGCCACAUUGGGACUGAGACACGGCCCAAACUCCUACGGGAGGCAGCAGUAGGGAAUUUUCGUCAAUGGGGGGAACCCUGAACGAGCAAUGCCGCGUGAGUGAGGAAGGUCUUCGGAUCGUAAAGCUCUGUUGUAAGAGAAAAACGGCACUCAUAGGGAAUGAUGAGUGAGUGAUGGUAUCUUACCAGAAAGUCACGGCUAACUACGUGCCAGCAGCCGCGGUAAUACGUAGGUGGCGAGCGUUAUCCGGAAUGAUUGGGCGUAAAGGGUGCGUAGGUGGCAGAUCAAGUCUGGAGUAAAAGGUAUGGGCUCAACCCGUACUGGCUCUGGAAACUGAUCAGCUAGAGAACAGAAGAGGACGGCGGAACUCCAUGUGUAGCGGUAAAAUGCGUAGAUAUAUGGAAGAACACCGGUGGCGAAGGCGGCCGUCUGGUCUGGAUUCUGACACUGAAGCACGAAAGCGUGGGGAGCAAAUAGGAUUAGAUACCCU